rnacentral:tRNA from 1 species
UACUUUCGGUGAGGAUCGAACUCACAUCUCCAAUUUCAAAGACUGGUGCUCUUAUCCAUUGAGCUACGAAAGC